GCUUACGCCGGGGCAGCAGCCGUGGGAAGACGGAGGGUGCAAGGGGUAUUCGGAUUUAUUGGGGUUAAAGGGUUCGUAGGCGGGCUUAUAAGUCAGUGGUGAAAGCCGGCAGCUUAACUGUCGAACUGCCAUUGAUACUGUAAGUCUUGAGUGUAUUUGAAGUGGCUGGAAUAAGUAGUGUAGCGGUGAAAUGCAUAGAUAUUACUUAGAACACCAAUUGCGAAGGCAGGUCACUAAGAUACAACUGACGCUGAUGGACGAAAGCGUGGGGAGCGAACAGGAUUAGAUACCCCGGUAGUC
rnacentral:rRNA from 1 species